UGACCUACAAGAAGAGUCACAGUGACAUUUACUGCAAUGUUGCACAUGAGACUAUUGUGUCAUUCAUCAGGGACGUGGAAAGGGUGGGGCUAAGGUUGCCCGGGCAACUGCCCGUCUGCCCUCCUCUACUCAAGCUGCCCCUCCAAUAAAAAAAAAAGUUUUAAAAUAGUAUAAUAGCUGCAGAAUUUCAUAUACGCCUAGAUAAAAAAAAUCGCCACCCGAAACAUUUCAUAAAGUAGCCUACGGGCAACGAAAGUGGAAGUGAGUAGGGGGAGGGUUCAUAGACAUAUAUAGUCUAUAUAUGUGUAUGGGGAGGGUUAAGUAGCUAAUUUGGGAAAGCCCCCUACUGUGUUUACUGUACCUGCCGUGCUGCACGCAACCGGCACCUGAGCGCCUGCAUUUUUGCCUCGAGAGACAGUCAGGUUGUCCGGUGUGACUUAAUCGAUGCGCAACUGCUUUGACGUAGUAAUAAAAGUGUAGAGUGCGGUAGAAGCUAGAAUGCCUACGCAAAAGAGAAGUAUUCCGGAGAGAUAGAAGCAGCUAAAGGAGGCAGCAAAGGAGAGCACAUCUUUGCAGAGUUGGUUACAAAGAAGCAAAGCAGCAGGUGAGACAGAGACAUUGCAUUGUGAUAAAGAUGACAAUGUGUAGGCUAAUUAAUCAAUGUGAAACAGGCUCAUAUUUUCAGACUCAUAUUUUUAGCCUACUAAUGCCAAUUUAUUAUAAUUACAAUUACAUUUAAGAUGAGGAGCAACCAGAAGCCUCCAGACCAGAGGAAAAUGUGGACCAAGAGACACAUAUGACAGGUAGGCCUAAGUGCUGAUCACCAAAUAUGAGAUGAAAGGACCAUGCUAGAAAGUACAGGGAUAAAGAGCUGCACGCUAAAUAAUUUUAAUCUUAAAAAAGUAUAGGCUAUUUUAGAGAUCCUUUCAAAGAUCUUGCCUGAGCAGAACACACAUAACAUACCACUGCUUCUAGUGGGCCUUAUAGUAGUAAUGAUGAUGGUAAAAACAAUAAUAUAUAAUUGGACAGAUGAUGAGCCAAGUACAUCAACUGCAGACAAAGAGUCAGACCCAGAUGAGAACAGAACAGACUUGGAAAACAGGGAAAGGACAGACAAAACAGAAAGUUAGGACAGGAUGCCAACAAGGGAGGAUAUUGAGAUGGAGAGUGAGGUAGAAUCAAUGAAUACAGAUUUUGAUUUUUUGCUGAGAUUGAGUAAUCCAACGGAUCCAGCUCAUGUACAGAGCAAUAAUCUUAAAUACAAUCAGGCCUUUUCUCAGGUCAGAGCAAUGGACCUUCAAAAUUCCUGUGCACGUCCCUGUCAUUCAUUAUGAAUGUCAUGGGUGUCAAUGUGAAUUAAAACUGAGAGACUGAAUGAGUUUGGCCUCAUGGCAAUAUCCUGAAGCAAUAAAACAGCAGGGUCUAGCUGCUAGCACGAUCUUUUUUUAAGCAAAAUUCCUCUCUGUGUUACUGUGUUACACAUUCACAAAGGAAUUAAUGUUUUAGAAUCUCAACGCAAUAUCUCACCUCCUGGACAGUUCCUGGGCUUUUCUUAUAUUUAUUUCGCCCUCUGCUGGUGGUAUUGCAUCACUUCGUUCUGUUACACACUUCUGGGACUUUUCUUCUCAUAUGGUAGCUGUUUAUCAGCCAAUGAUAAUAUUGAAAAUAAUAUAUGUAUUCCUGUUCAAAGGCUACAUGUGCUUGACAGCCCCGUCAAGCACAUGUAGCCUUUGAACAGGAAUACAUAUAUUAUUUUCAAUAUUAUCAUUGGCUGAUAAACGUACUACUCACCAACACUUACACCAUAAUCGUUCCUUU
ensembl:lncRNA